CUUGUAAUUUUUUUACGUAACAGUCACACUGUUGGCGUUUACUGGAUAAUUGGCAUUCUGGAACGAAAGACACAACUAACUUGCCAUUUGUUGGAAAAGCGUAGAUGAAUAUUGACUUGACCUAUCGUUAGCUCUUCACUUGAUCGUCUGUCGCUUUGAAAAAUUUGUCGUUGGCCAACGAUCUCUACUGGCUUAUGCAAAAAGUUGAAAUUGAUUAACGCCAGCUCUUCACCUGAUCGCCUUUCGCUUUGAAAACUUUUCCUUUCAUCGUUGGCGAACGAUCUCUACUGGCUUAUGCAUAUAUUAUGCGUGCGGAUACUGAAGCAAGAACUUGAAACUGAUUAACGUUACCGCGCCAAAAGGGGGCACGAAUUUGUUGCCACCCUGUAUAUCGUCGCAACUCAUCUCGCCGCGCCGCGCCUGGUCGCAUAUAAUGCACACCGAAGCGAGAGAUGAAAGGCACUCCGCUUAUCUAAACAAAAGCCUGUGCCGAAGUGUUUAUCGCGGGCGAGUUGCUUAGCUUGCUGUCUGACUGUCAACCGUCAGGGAAAACGAAAUGCAGCGAAACAAGAGGAAUGCCGCUUGCUUAUCCGCAAGUCUCUUCUCUCGUCUACCUAAUGGCUUCGUUUACGUCGUCGAUCGUAAGAGAGAGAGAGAGAGAGAGAAAAGUAAAGCCUAAGGAUGGCUACACAAGAGAAAUUUACCGAGACAAAAGCUUUUUAUCCCCACUUAUCUAACCACAUGAAAGAAUACAAGUUUCUCGGGCAUCUUUUGAAAACACUAUUUUUUCGAUCGGUUUCUCUUCAUAAUCGCUCGUUAUUAAAUUAAGUUCCCUAUUAUGUGGUAAGCUCCUAAUAAGAGAUUGCAGGGUUUCUGCUAAAUUAAUAGGCAUCAUCUAUUGGUUUCAUCGUGAAUU